UUGCAAGGACUCCCUUGAUGAUGUCCAAUGUAACACAAUACCCUAGAAGGAAGGCACAGAAAAAUAAAAGUAGUAAGCUGCUAAAAAUACAACACACUAAGAGUGGAUCGUGGUCAGCUUUGAAGGAGGACAUGGAUCUAAUUUUUUGGGUUCCUUAUUUUGUCCCAACAUCAAUCCUGAACAAACACUGUGACAGCUUGAAUCAAACCCUUUAACAACCUUGGAUAUGCUGGUAAAUAUUUUAAAAAUUAUUCUAAAAAACGUAUACAUGAGCCACUUUAAAAUUUGACCUGAAAUUUUUUACACUUUCUUCAUAACUUUCAUAAAUUUGAACAUUCAGAAAUAUUCAAGACCUGAUUUUUAGCCAAUUUCUGCGGUAUAAAUACUCAAAUUGAGAAUUUAAGAAUUGAACUUUAUCAGCUGCCCUAAGC
rnacentral:lncRNA from 1 species